rnacentral:rRNA from 1 species
AACUAUGUGCCAGCAGCUGCGGUAAUACAUAGGUCGCGAGCGUUAUUCGGAUUUAUUGGGCGUAAAGCAAGCGCAGGCGGAUGUAUAAGUUCUGUGUGAAAAGCAGCUGCUCAACAGCUGUUGGCGCCGAAUACUAUACAUCUAGAAUACGGUAGGAAGUUUUGGAAUUGAAUAUGGAGCGGUGGAAUGUGUAGAUAUAUUCAAGAACACCAGAGGCGAAGGCGAAAACUUAGGCCGAUAUUGACGCUUAGGCUUGAAAGUGUGGGGAGCAAAUGGGAUUAGAUACCCCAGUAGUCCACACCGUAAACGAUGGGUAUUAAAUUUUGGGGUUAGUGCCUCAGGGUUGUAGCUUACGUGUUAAAUACCCCGCCUGGGUAGUACAUAUGCAAAUAUGAAACUCAAAGGAAUUGACGGGGACCUGAACAAGUGGUGGAACAUGUUGCUUAAUUCGAUAAUACACGAAAAACCUUACCAAGAUUUGACAUCCCUCGCGAAGCUUUAGAGAUAAAGUCAGAGGUUAUCGAGGUGACAGGUGGUGCAUGGUUGUCGUCAGCUCGUGUCAUGAGAUGUUGGGUUAAGUCCCGCAACGAGCGCAACCCUACUCUCUAGUUGUCUGUUUAGAGAGACUGAACAGUAAUGUAUAGGAAGGUCGGGAUCACGUCAAAUCAUCAUGCCCCUUAUGUCUUGGGCUGCAAACGUGUUACAAUGGCGAGCACAGCGUGUCGCAAGCCAGCGAUGGUAAGCUAAUCACUAAAAACUCGUCUCAGUCCGGAUAAAAGGCUGCAAUUCGCCUUUUUGAAGUUGGAAUCACUAGUAAUCCCGUGUCAGCUAUAUCGGGGUGAAUACGUUCCCAGGUCUUGUACACAC